rnacentral:RNase_P_RNA from 2 species
CCAGUUGACCGGGUGACCGCUGGCAUGGGGGUAACCCCAUGCUGGAGGAAAGUCCGGGCUCCAUCGAAACACGGUGACGGCUAACAGCCGCCGGGGGCGACCCCAGGGAAAGUGCGUGCGGUAAGAGCGCACCGGGUGCCUGGUGACAGGGAUCGCACGGUAAACCCCACCGGGAGCAAGACCAAAUAGGGAUGACGCGAAGCCUCGGCUUCAGCCUGUUUCGAGGCCAUGUCAUCCGGGUUGGUUGCACGAGCGCGUCCAGCAAUGGCCGCCAUAGAUGAAUGGUCACCACGUCGCGGCAACGCGGCCCUACAGAACCCGGCUUAUAGGUCAACUGGCGUU